rnacentral:rRNA from 1 species
AGAGUUUGAUCCUGGCUCAGGAUGAACGCUGGCGGCGUGCCUAAUACAUGCAAGUCGAGCGAACAGACGAGGAGCUUGCUCCUCUGACGUUAGCGGCGGACGGGUGAGUAACACGUGGAUAACCUACCUAUAAGACUGGGAUAACUUCGGGAAACCGGAGCUAAUACCGGAUAAUAUAUUGAACCGCAUGGUUCAAUAGUGAAAGACGGUUUUGCUGUCACUUAUAGAUGGAUCCGCGCCGCAUUAGCUAGUUGGUAAGGUAACGGCUUACCAAGGCAACGAUGCGUAGCCGACCUGAGAGGGUGAUCGGCCACACUGGAACUGAGACACGGUCCAGACUCCUACGGGAGGCAGCAGUAGGGAAUCUUCCGCAAUGGGCGAAAGCCUGACGGAGCAACGCCGCGUGAGUGAUGAAGGUCUUCGGAUCGUAAAACUCUGUUAUUAGGGAAGAACAAAUGUGUAAGUAACUAUGCACGUCUUGACGGUACCUAAUCAGAAAGCCACGGCUAACUACGUGCCAGCAGCCGCGGUAAUACGUAGGUGGCAAGCGUUAUCCGGAAUUAUUGGGCGUAAAGCGCGCGUAGGCGGUUUUUUAAGUCUGAUGUGAAAGCCCACGGCUCAACCGUGGAGGGUCAUUGGAAACUGGAAAACUUGAGUGCAGAAGAGGAAAGUGGAAUUCCAUGUGUAGCGGUGAAAUGCGCAGAGAUAUGGAGGAACACCAGUGGCGAAGGCGACUUUUCUGGUCUGUAACUGACGCUGAUGUGCGAAAGCGUGGGGAUCAAACAGGAUUAGAUACCCUGGUAGUCCACGCCGUAAACGAUGAGUGCUAAGUGUUAGGGGGUUUCCGCCCCUUAGUGCUGCAGCUAACGCAUUAAGCCCUCCGCCUGGGGAGUACGACCGCAAGUUGAAACUCAAAGAAUUGACG